GCGAGGAACAUGUAGCAAUAUGUGUUAUUCGAGCGGCGUAAGGGGCAGUAAUACCUGGGAACGUACCCUGAGGUCGGGGAUAGCUGCUAGAAAUGGCGAGUAACACCCGAUGAUCUCGAGAGAGCAAAGGCUUGCCGCCUUCGGAGCGGCCCAGGCGAUAUUAGCUAGUUGGUGGGGUAAUGGCCUACCAAGGCAUAGAUGUCUAGCGGGUGUGAGAGCACGACCCGCGCCACUGGCACUGAGACACUGGCCAGACACCUACGGGUGGCUGCAGUCGAGAAUCUUCGGCAAUGAGCGCAAGCUUGACCGAGCGACGCCGCGUGCGGGAUGAAGGCCUUCGGGUUGUAAACCGCUUUGGUCCGAAAGAAAGGGUAAAACUUGAUCGAUCGGAGAAACAAGGACGGGCUAAGUUCGUGCCAGCAGCCGCGGUAAGACGAACCGUCCAAACGUUAUUCGGAAUCACUGGGCUUAAAGGGCGCGUAGGCGGCCGAGCGGGUCACGGGUGAAAUCCUCCAGCUUAACUGGAGAACUGCCCUUGAUACCACUGCGGCUCGAGGAAGGAAGGGGCAAUCGGAACUGUCGGUGGAGCGGUGAAAUGCGUUGAUAUCGACAGGAACGCCGGUGGCGAAAGCGGAUUGCUGGUCCUUUUCUGACGCUGAGGCGCGAAAGCCAGGGGAGCAAACGGGAUUAGAUACCCCGGUAGUCCUGGCCUUAAACGAUGAGAACUAGGUAGUGGGUCCGACCUGGGCACACUGCCGAAGCGAAAGUUUUAAGUUCUCCGCCUGGGGAGUAUGGUCGCAA
rnacentral:rRNA from 1 species